GAGGGUGGAGCUCAGUGGUAGAGCACAUGCUUAGCAUGCACCAGGUCCUGCAUGGGGUCCUGGGUUCAAUCCCCAGCACCUCUG
rnacentral:tRNA from 1 species